rnacentral:rRNA from 1 species
CCUGGUUGAUCCUGCCAGUAGCAUAUGCUUGUCUCAAAGAUUAAGCCAUGCACGUGUAAGUACACACGGCCGGUACAGUGAAACAGCAAACGGCUCAUUAAAUCAGUUAUAGUUCCUUUGAUCACGCCAACUGUUACUUGGAUAACUCUGGUAAUUCUAGAGCUAAGGCAUGCCUUUCAGCGCAGACCUCCCGGGAUACGUGCAUUUAAUCAGACCAAGACCAAUCCGGGCUUGCCGGUCGCUUUGGCGACACUAGAUAACCUCGGACUGAUCGCAUGACCCGUAACGGCGACGAUGCAUUUGGAUGUCUGCCCUAUCAACUUUCGAUGGUACUUUCUGUGCCUACCAUGGUGACCACGGGUAAUGGGGAAUCAGGGUUCGAUUCCGGAGAGGGAGCCUGAGAAACGGCUACCACAUCCAAGGAAGGCAGCAGGCGCGCAAAUUACCCAUUCCCGACUCUAGGAGGUAGUGACGAAAAAUAACAAUACAGGACUCUUCGAGGCACUGUAAUUGGAAUGAGUACACUUGAAAUCCUUUAACGAGUAACCAUUGGAAGGCAAGUCUGGUGCCAGCAGCCAUGGUAAUUCCAGCUCUAAUAGCGUAUAUUAAAGUUGCUGCAGUUAAAAAGCUUGUAGUUGGAUCUUGGGAUCGAGAUGGCGGUCUGCCGCGAGGCAAGCUACUGCCUGUCCCAGCCCCUGCCCCUCAGCGCCCCCUUGAUGCUCUUGACUCAGUGUCCUGGGGGUUCAAAGCGGUUACUUUGAAAGAAAUUUGAGUGUUCAAAGCAGGCCGGUAGCCUGAAUACUUCACCCAGGAAUAUUAGAACAGGACUCGGUUCUAUUUUGUUGGUUUUCGGAACUGGGGCUAUGAUUAAGAGGGACGGCCGGGGGCAUUCGUAUUGUGCCGCUACAGGUGAAAUUCUUGGACUGGCGAAAGACAAACCAAAGCAUUAGCCAAGAAUGUUUUCAUUAAUGAAGAACACAAGUCUGAGGUUCGAAGAUUAUCCGAUACCAUCGUAGUUCCGACCAUAAACGAUGCCGACUAGCGAUCUGGCAGUGUUUUCCAUGACCCACCGAACAGCUUCCGCGAAAUCAAAGUCUUUGGGUUCCGGGGGAGUAUGGUUGCAAAGCUGAAACUUAAAGGAAUUGAGGAAGGGCACCACCAGGAGUGGAGCCUGCGGCUUAAUUUGACAACACCGGAAACCUCACCCGGCCGGACACGGAAAGGAUUGACAGAUUGAUAGCUCUUUCUCGAUUCUGUGGGUGGUGGUGCAUGGCCGUUCUUAGUGGUGGAGCGAUUUGUCUGGUUAAUUCGAUAACGAACGAGACUCCUCCAUGCUAACUAGUUACGCGACCCCAGCGGUCGGCGUUCAACUUCUUAGAGGGACAAGUGUCAUUCAGCCACACAGAUUGAGCAAUAACUGAGCAAUAAUUGGUCUGUGAUGCUCUUAGAUGUCAGCGGCUGCACGCGUGCUACACUGAACGGAUCAGCGUGUGUCUACCCUUCGUCGUCAGGUGCGGCUAAUCCGCUGAACCCCGUUCGUGAUAGGGAUUGCAAUUAUUUACCAUGAAUGAGGAAUUUCCACUAAGUGCGGGUCAUAAGCCCGCGUUGAUUAAGUCCCUGCCCUUUGUACACACCGCCCGUCGCUACUACCUAUUGGAUGGUUUAGUGAGGUCCUCAGAUCGGCCCCGCCGGGGUCGGCAAUGGCCCCGGCAGAGCGAGUAAAAAAUGUGUACAGGUUGGGUUAGUCUGCUGGGGACGUCCCCCGA